CCCAGUUUCUUUGGGACCUGGUAACCGCCACUGGCUCCUGUUUAAAAACUAACCGUGUUUCCCAGUUGCUCCGGUAAGACCCAGUCUUUCCUUUUGCUUCAGCUCCUCCCUUCUUUGCCUUGAAGGGCACAGAAAAGGUGCUACAGACCUCCUGGGGGGGGGGGGGGUUCUUCUCUCUUCUUCAUGGAGCCCCAAGUAUCAUAGAUCGAUUCCUCUUCGAUCCGAAACCCUGCUCUCUGGAUUAAGCCGCUCACUCAGAAACCUAGCUAAGCAACGCAAACUAAGAGUUUGGAAACCAUGAAUUUCUAGUUUCUAGAAUGUGGCCUUUGCAUAAGUUCACUGAGAAUCGGCUCUUGUACCUGGACACAAGCGGAGACCCUGGUCCAGUUGUCAAGGUUUCAGGUCAUUGUAAGGAAGGAAGGAAGGCCAUCUGUGUGGAGGCAACAGAAAAGCUGAGCCUGUUCCUUACCAUCACAGUCUCGUGCAGGUUCACUGGCCCAUGACUGUGAGCACAAAGACACAUCAGCUCCAAGGACAGGAAGAGCCCAGGACGUCCACCUUGCCUGGUGGUCAGCUUGUCUCGGAGGAGCAAAGUACGCACUUGGCUGUCUAUUCCUAAGGCCAAGGUGAAGACUGUGUUCUAGAAAGAGAAUUAUGUCUAAAUAUAGGCCAGAGGAUCCAGAAUUUCAGACUAGCUCCCUCCGUGUGUGAGUGACUAGAGGGAAUGAAGGAACAGAAGAUGAAGGGUUUAAGUGUGUGAGUUCAUUUAAGGACACAUCCCAAUAAGGAAAAGCCAUGCAGCAUCUGAUUGUUUUAUGAAGCACUGUGAAGAGAAUUGUUUGGCACUGUUUGUAUAUAACAGACUCACAAUUUGUGUCUUUAAAUAUGAAGCUCAAAUCACCUCGUCUAAAAUUAUGCUUCCUACCAAGAUUGCUUAGUAACCACUCAUAGGAAAGAACACAGGCCUGGAGGCGGGACCUCAGCUCUCCUCAGACAAUGACUUCCACUUAGAGAAUCCUGGUGAAGGCACUUCCGGUUCCUGCCCGUUUCUCUGCUACUCAGGCUCUGUGGCUCUUGAAAGGCUUCAGCGCUUCUGAUGGAAAGUCAGAAGGUUGAAUAUUUUCCAUCCUGAAAGUCCCUUCCGGUUUAGAAUCACUUGAUUUGAGCCUGUGUUUCUGCUGAGGGACUGGAGUCGCCUGAACAGUUUGUUCGAUCGCAUGAGCAUUUGGCGGAAAGGUUCCGAACUCCUCAGAAGGAUCCAUUCAAAGGAAAAAUUGAUGUCAACCAAAUAAAGUGGGCGGAGAAGGCUGUCCUUUGUUCUGAAACAGGAAGUAAUAAAAGCUGACGUGGUGGCGUGUCCUAGCUAGGGCUAUACCGCUGCAAUGAAACACCAUGACCAAAAGCAACUUGAGGCGGGAAGGCCUUGUUUGGCUUACACUUCCACGUUGUAGUCCAUCAGGGAAGGAAGUCAAACAGGGCCAGAGCUCAAACAAGGCAAGAACCCAGAGGCAGGAGCUGAUGCAGAAGCCACGGAAGAGUACAGCUUACUGGCUUGAUCCUCAA